GGGUGUGUGGCUAAUGGUAGAGCACAUGCUUAGCAUGCAUGAGGUCUUGGGUUCAAUCCCCAGUACCUCCA
rnacentral:tRNA from 1 species